rnacentral:rRNA from 1 species
UGGGGAAUUUUGGACAAUGGGCGAAAGCCUGAUCCAGCAAUGCCGCGUGUGUGAAGAAGGCCUUCGGGUUGUAAAGCACUUUUGUCCGGAAAGAAAUCCUUGGCUCUAAUACAGUCGGGGGAUGACGGUACCGGAAGAAUAAGCACCGGCUAACUACGUGCCAACAGCCGCGGUAAUACGUAGGGUGCAAGCGUUAAUCGGAAUUACUGGGCGUAAAGCGUGCGCAGGCGGUUUGCUAAGACCGAUGUGAAAUCCCCGGGCUCAACCUGGGAACUGCAUUGGUGACUGGCAGGCUAGAGUAUGGCAGAGGGGGGUAGAAUUCCACGUGUAGCAGUGAAAUGCGUAGAGAUGUGGAGGAAUACCGAUGGCGAAGGCAGCCCCCUGGGCCAAUACUGACGCUCAUGCACGAAAGCGUGGGGAGCAAACAGGAUUAGAUACCCUGGUAGUCCACGCCCUAAACGAUGUCAACUAGUUGUUGGGGAUUCAUUUCCUUAGUAACGUAGCUAACGCGUGAAGUUGACCGCCUGGGGAGUACGGUCGCAAGAUUAAAACUCAAUGAAUUGACGGGGUCAUAGCUGUUUCCU